GUGAACGCUGGCGGUAGGCCUAACACAUGCAAGUCGAACGGCAGCACAGUAAGAGCUUGCUCUUACGGGUGGCGAGUGGCGGACGGGUGAGGAAUACAUCGGAAUCUACUUUUUCGUGGGGGAUAACGUAGGGAAACUUACGCUAAUACCUCAUACGACCUACGGGUGAAAGCAGGGGAUCUUCGGACCUUGCGCGAUUGAAUGAGCCGAUGUCGGAUUAGCUAGUUGGCGGGGUAGAGGCCCACCAAGGCGACGAUCCGUAGCUGGUCUGAGAGGAUGAUCAGCCACACUGGAACUGAGACACGGUCCAGACUCCUACGGGAGGCAGCAGUGGGGAAUAUUGGACAGUGGGCGCAAGCCUGAUCCAGCCAUACCGCGUGGGUGAAGAAGGCCUUCGGGUUGUAAAGCCCUUUUGUUGGGAAAGAAAAGCAGCAGGUUAAUACCCCGCUGUUCUGACGGUACCCAAAGAAUAAGCACCGGCUAACUUCGUG
rnacentral:rRNA from 1 species